rnacentral:rRNA from 1 species
GACGUAGGCGCGAGCGUUGUCCGGAUUUAUUGGGCGUAAAGAGCUCGUAGGCGGCUUGUCGCGUCGUCCGUGAAAACCCAUGGCUCAACUGUGGCUUGCGGUCGAUACGGCAGGCUGGAGUUCGGUAGGGAGACGUGGAAUUCCAGGUGUAGCGGUGGAAUGCGUAGAUAUCUGGAGGAACACCGGUGGCGAAGGCGGCAUCCUGGACCGAUAUUGACGCUGACGGCGCGAAAGCCAGGGAGCAAAGCAGGAU